rnacentral:rRNA from 1 species
UACGUAGGGGGCAAGCGUUGUCCGGAUUUAUUGGGCGUAAAGAGCGUGUAGGCGGCUUUACAGGUCCGUUGUGAAAACUCGAGGCUCAACCUCGAGACGCCGGUGGAAACCUAGCGCAGAGUCCGGAAGAGGAGAGUGGAAUUCCUGGUGUAGCGGUGAAAUGCGCAGAUAUCAGGAGGAACACCCGUGGCGAAAGCGGCUCUCUGGGGACGGUACUGACGCUGAGACGCGAAAGCGUGGGGAGCAAACAGGG